rnacentral:rRNA from 1 species
ACGCACGCUGGCGGCGUGCUUAACACAUGCCAGUCGAACGGUGAAGCUCCAGCUUGCUGGAGUGGAUCAGUGGCGAACGGGUGAGUAACACGUGAGCAACCUGCCCCUGACUCUGGAAUAAGCGCUGGAAACGGCGUCUAAUACUGGAUACGAGAAGGGUCCGCAUGGGCACUUUCUGGAAAGUUUUUCGGUUGGGGAUGGGCUCGCGGCCUAUCAGCUUGUUGGUGAGGUAAUGGCUCACCAAGGCGACGACGGGUAGCCGGCCUGAGAGGGCGACCGGCCACACUGGGACUGAGACACGGCCCAGACUCCUACGGGAGGCAGCAGUGGGGAAUAUUGCACAAUGGGCGAAAGCCUGAUGCAGCGACGCCGCGUGAGGGAUGACGGCCUUCGGGUUGUAAACCUCUUUCAGCAGGGAAGAAGCGAAAGUGACGGUACCUGCAGAAGAAGCACCGGCUAACUACGUG